rnacentral:rRNA from 1 species
AGAGUUUGAUCAUGGCUCAGAGCGAACGCUGGCGGCAGGCUUAACACAUGCAAGUCGAGCGGGCACCUUCGGGUGUCAGCGGCAGACGGGUGAGUAACACGUGGGAAUGUGCCCUUUGGUUCGGAAUAACUCUGGGAAACUAGAGCUAAUACCGGAUACGACCGUGAGGUGAAAGAUUCAUCGCCGGAGGAGCAGCCCGCGUCCGAUUAGCUAGUUGGUGAGGUAACGGCUCACCAAGGCGACGAUCGGUAGCUGGUCUGAGAGGAUGACCAGCCACACUGGGACUGAGACACGGCCCAGACUCCUACGGGAGGCAGCAGUGGGGAAUCUUGGACAAUGGGGGCAACCCUGAUCCAGCCAUGCCGCGUGGAUGAUGAAGGCCUUAGGGUUGUAAAGUCCUUUCGACGGGGACGAUAAUGACGGUACCCGUAGAAGAAGCCCCGGCUAACUUCGUGCCAGCCGCCGCGGUAAUAC